GACGAACGCUGGCGGCGUGCUUAACACAUGCAAGUCGAACGGAAAGGCCCUGCUUUUGUGGGGUGCUCGAGUGGCGAACGGGUGAGUAACACGUGAGUAACCUGCCCUUGACUUUGGGAUAACUUCAGGAAACUGGGGCUAAUACCGGAUAGGAGCUCCUGCUGCAUGGUGGGGGUUGGAAAGUUUCGGCGGUUGGGGAUGGACUCGCGGCUUAUCAGCUUGUUGGUGGGGUAGUGGCUUACCAAGGCUUUGACGGGUAGCCGGCCUGAGAGGGUGACCGGCCACAUUGGGACUGAGAUACGGCGCAGACUCCUACGGGAGGCAGCAGUGGGGAAUAUUGCACAAUGGGCGGAAGCCUGAUGCAGCAACGCCGCGUGCGUGAUGACGGCCUUCGGGUUGUAAACCGCUUUCGCCUGUGACGAAGCGUGAGUGACGGUAAUGGGUAAAGAAGCACCGGCUAACUACGUG
rnacentral:rRNA from 1 species